GACGAACGCUGGCGGCGUGCCUAAUACAUGCAAGUUGAGCGAUGAAGAUUGGUGCUUGCACCAAUUUGAAGAGCAGCGAACGGGUGAGUAACGCGUGGGGAAUCUGCCUUUGAGCGGGGGACAACAUUUGGAAACGAAUGCUAAUACCGCAUAACAACUUUAAACAUAAGUUUUAAGUUUGAAAGAUGCAAUUGCAUCACUCAAAGAUGAUCCCGCGUUGUAUUAGCUAGUUGGUGAGGUAAAGGCUCACCAAGGCGAUGAUACAUAGCCGACCUGAGAGGGUGAUCGGCCACAUUGGGACUGAGACACGGCCCAAACUCCUACGGGAGGGAGCAGUAGGGAAUCUUCGGCAAUGGACGAAAGUCUGACCGAGCAACGCCGCGUGAGUGAAGAAGGUUUUCGGAUCGUAAAACUCUGUUGGUAGAGAAGAACGUUGGUGAGAGUGGAAAGCUCAUCAAGUGACGGUAACUACCCAGAAAGGGACGGCUAACUACGUG
rnacentral:rRNA from 1 species